UGCGGAGGGAUCAUUACACAAAUAUGAAGGCGGGCUGGAACCUCUCGGGGUUACAGCCUUGCUGAAUUAUUCACCCUUGUCUUUUGCGUACUUCUUGUUUCCUUGGUGGGUUCGCCCACCACUAGGACAAACAUAAACCUUUUGUAAUUGCAAUCAGCGUCAGUAACAAAUUAAUAAUUACAACUUUCAACAACGGAUCUCUUGGUUCUGGCAUCGAUGAAGAACGCAGCGAAAUGCGAUAAGUAGUGUGAAUUGCAGAAUUCAGUGAAUCAUCGAAUCUUUGAACGCACAUUGCGCCCUUUGGUAUUCCAAAGGGCAUGCCUGUUCGAGCGUCAUUUGUACCCUCAAGCUUUGCUUGGUGUUGGGCGUCUUGUCUCUAGCUUUGCUGGAGACUCGCCUUAAAGUAAUUGGCAGCCGGCCUACUGGUUUCGGAGCGCAGCACAAGUCGCACUCUCUAUCAGCAACAGGUCUAGCAUCCACUAAGCCUUUUUUUCAACUUUUGACCUCGGAUCAGGUAGGGAUACCCGCUGAACUUAAGCAUAUCAUAAGGGCCGGAGGA
rnacentral:rRNA from 1 species